AAAAAACCUUGAAGCUUUUCUUAAAUGCGACAAAAUUCGAAAAAAGAUUUUAAAGUUGAAAAAAAUUCUUUAAAAAAUUAAUUGAUGUAGAUGAAGAUUAUAAGAGAUCAACUGAAAUAAUUUGAGAAACAAAGUUUCCUCUUAAAAAAAAAUUUUUGUUAAGUUUAUGCUGCAGCUAGGUUAUAACUAUAGUUUGUAUAUAUAGAUUCUGAGCUAUAGGACAGUUAUGUCAUCUGUAUUGAUUGAAAUUUCUAAAUAGAACUGCAUAGACUGCUUGGGUUAUUAUUUUGAUAUGUGUGUGGAAAUCUAUCGUGCCUGCCACUGUCUUCAGUAAUUAUUUUCUUUUAUUUUAAAAUUUUUUACAUAUAUAUUAACAUUUUACCGGCAUGUUAGUUUCAAAAAAAUCUUUUCUUUAAUUUUGAUUUAUUUUCUCUCUCCCUUAUAUUUGAUCUAUAUAGUUUUAAUUUAGUUGAUUCACAGUGUUUCUUUUGAUUUUGAUUUUUAUUUCCUUGUCUUUUCCUCUUUCUUUCUUCGUACACCUUACCUGUUAAACAACAUUAGUUGAAACACCUAAGGCUCCUGAAAAGCCUAAAGAAGAGCCUAAGGCUCCAGAAAAGCCCAAGGAAGAGCCUAAGGCUCCAGAAAAACCUAAGGAAGAGCCUAAGGCUCCUGAAAAACCUAAAGAAGAGCCUAAGGCUCCAGAAAAACCCAAAGAAGAGCCUAAGGCUCCUGAAAAGCCUAAAGAACAGCCUAAGGCUCCAGAAAAACCCAAAGAGGAGCCCAAACCAGAGGCCCCUAAAAUUGUUAUAGAUGAUGAAGGUAAAUGUUGGUCGAUAGAAAUUCCCACACUACGGUCACUCCAUACUCCCCCCUCUCUGUUGUCAUCUUAUAUGGGUAAGGUGCCCCCCUCCCUACAUGUUGUGGUCCGUACGUCAGUCGUAAACAAUUUUAAUAUUUUUCUUGUAAAUAAUGUCAUUUGUCAACAGCCAAUAAGAAUUCACCAAGGCAAUUAAAACCAUAUCAGAAGAAACCUACCACCAUAUUGGAAGAGGGUAAGAGAGUCUGGCUCUGAACGUCAACAGGGUGAAAAGUCUUGUGUAGAUGUUGUAAGCUGUGAUGUACUGAAUGAGAUAAAUAUAUACCUGCUGAAAUGUUUGAAAUGCACAAAAAUACUUUUACAGAAGUUACAGCUAUAGUUUUAAUCCUCCAAAGAUAAUGUUAACUUCAAGAUUUUAAUUUUUUAGGCAUGAAAAUUGAUUAAGUGCCUCUUAUGAAAUUAGUGUUUUGACUUGGUACAUCAUUAUAUUCCAUUUGUUACCAUAUGUACUAACAGUAUAAAAAUUGUUUCUUACUUAUAAUGUUUAAAAA
rnacentral:misc_RNA from 1 species